rnacentral:rRNA from 1 species
UACAGAGGUGGCAAGCGUUGUUCGGAAUUACUGGGCGUAAAGGGCGCGUAGGCGGCUUGGUCAGUCCCGUGUGAAAUCCCUCGGCUCAACUGAGGAACUGCACGGGAAACUGCCUGGCUUGAGUUCGGGAGAGGGAAGCGGAAUUCCGGGUGUAGCGGUGAAAUGCGUAGAUAUCCGGAGGAACACCGGUGGCGAAGGCGGCUUCCUGGACCGACACUGACGCUGAGGCACGAAAGCGUGGGUAGCAAACAGG